UGGCACAUAUCUCAAAUGCCGCAGAACCGCCUGGGAUCUCUGGAAUGUAUACUUCAUCAUUGUGCUCCCCAGUGCCCGCAGUGACCAACUGCUGCAAGUGAGCACUCUUUGACAGAAGGGGAAACUGCAAAAAAGCAGGAGCAAUCAAAUUAAGUGGCACACCUUGUGGAGGUAAAACUUGACAUCCCCAACGAUAACAGUGAUGUCCGUAGCUAAUUCACUGACAACAUACCUGCAACAUAAAUGUGAAUUCUUUUAAUAAAAUAAUGAGAAAGUUGUCUGAUUGUUUCAUUUGAGUAUCACUUCCCUAUUAACUCUGAUUUCUACCAUAUAAGAUUCAAAUGUUAAUUCUAAAAUUUUAGUGCAACGGGCAACGCCCACACUUUGUUUAAGCUUUAAAAACGUGCUAGUAAUAGGUAGCAGUAGAUUUCAUCCAAAUCCAAAAGAAGAAACUACUAUACAUCAGAGUGAACCAUCCAUCCACUACAGAAAAUUCUCGUGCAAUGAAGCUUUAAAAAGAAGUGAAGAAAGGUGUAUGUAGACAAUUGUACCAAAGAACAUGCACAACCAUUAUUCAACAUUCCAUUGUGGCAAGAUUCUUAUUGUUCCCAUAAGAGACAGAGAAAAAAAGGUGAUUCUUGAGUUAAAAGAACAUUCAAUACCAUCUUGGUUAAAAUGUGGAAUCUCCCUACUACUAAAUUCAUGCUCUUGACCCAUUCGAGGCACAGCAUAUAAAUAUGCUAUUUCGCUCACGAUUCCAGGUCUUUUUCAAAGCAUCUUUCUAAUGUGUGGUCAUUCAACCGAGUUCAAAGUCGUUCGAACUUAAUUCCAUCGUAUGUGAUGCGAUCCCUUCCCCAAAGAAUGAUAAGCAAUAGCUUCAUAGUUUGGUAAGCAACUUUCUAAUUCUACUUGGAAACUUGAUGUACAUGUAAUAAACAUUUGAGCAUUAAUGAGCUAUGUAGCUCUCUCAAAUGUAAUCAGGUAUCUCAAUUCUCUAUGUUCUCUUUCCGACGUGUGUAUAAACUGAUGAAGCAGUCGAAAAACAUAACUAUAAUCUAUGAACUGUUUUACCCGGGUUUGGUAAGAA